UACGUAGGGCGCAAGCGUUGUCCGGAAUUAUUGGGCGUAAAGAGCUCGUAGGCGGUCUGUCGCGUCUGCCGUGAAAACCCGAGGCUUAACCUCGGGCUGGCGGUGGAUACGGGCAGACUAGAGGUAGGUAGGGGAGAAUGGAAUUCCCGGUGUAGCGGUGAAAUGCGCAGAUAUCGGGAGGAACACCGGUGGCGAAGGCGGUUCUCUGGGACGUAACUGACGCUGAGACGCGAAAGCGUGGGGAGCAAACAGG
rnacentral:rRNA from 1 species